rnacentral:lncRNA from 1 species
CUUGAAAUGAACUAACACUACUGCAUACGUACCAGGCUCUGCAGAAAGAGAAAUACGGUCACGUAAUAUGGAAAGUUCAGGUGACAAGCCACCAGAAUCAAGAACUUUCAAGUACUUCAUUGCCGUUGUAAGAAGCCCUUGGCUGGCCAAUAUUUCAGCAUAACUCUCAAAUAGUUUACAUAGAGAUGCGCUGAACUUUUUGUUGCCAGUUGCCAAAGCAAGGACAAGAGUCUUCUCCAUAAGAUCCUAUCAAAAGAAAAGGGCACAAGAAUAUGAGCAGAGAAGCCUAACUAAUUAUGCACAAAACAUGGUAAGUGAUACACACUUGAAGAAGCUCGGCAUAAGAUCUUCCAUCGCGAUCGUUUGCAAGGCUCCUCGACCAAAUUUCUACUGUUCUGUCAACAUUGCCUGCGCAUAUGUAGCAGAAAACUGCAGCCAAAGUGUUACCAGCAGCCAUCAACUUUGAGGCAAGGGCAUCGCAAAGGCUGGCCCAUUGUUCUCCUUGUGCAAACUGUUUGCCAAUCAAUAUAAAAGCAGCAUUCGUUACAAAGUGGUUUUAUAGUGGCCAAAACUAAGUAGCAGUUACAUGCAUCACGUAAUACUGCGAGUUGUACAUCUCGGUUCAUGAGUCAACGAAAAUGACAUAUCACUUUACAUUGUUUGAAGAGCUAAAGUGAGAAGAGAAUAUAUUUUGAUCAAGUAAGGCAUGAAAAUAAAGAGUUUGACAAACUUACAGUACAGAGAAGAGCAAGAGUUUCUUUCCAGAACUUAAGCGACCUUGUAUAAAUAAGGCUCGUGAGAUCGUUGUUCACCAUCGCAGAAACAAUCUGAAAACAGAUUAACAUACAGUAGUUAAGAGGCUUUGCAACCAUAAAAAGGGAUGUCGAUUGCACUUGUCUACAUAUCAAGUUUGAAAGGAAUACAUGUAUAUACCUUCAUGUAAGGCGCACCACUCGUCUUCAAAUAUUUCUCACGAGUACUCUCCCACAAUGAUGUACCACCAACAUGAGCUAUAACUAAAGCAUCAGCCAUCUUAUUUGCAGAUAUACACUGAUCCACCGCUUCAUUGUAAUUUCCAACAACUAAAGCACGCUGGAUGGCAUCAUCAAAUACUUUGUCAGAACCUUCUUCCUCUUCUUCUGGUAUUUCUUGAGUUUCUUCCACUUUGGCAGAAGAAUCUGUGUCAGGAGGCAUAAAAUCUUUGGAGGAUGUAGAUACGGGUGUAUCUGGUUUAGAAGGAAGGUUGUCGAAAAAGUCUUCUCCAUUGUCCAUAGCAAAUGCAGCUGCCUCGUUAAUUUUCACAGGCUCAGGUGCAGUAUCCUCUAAUCCAAUGCCAUUCAGAUCUGACGAGAGCCCAUCUACUGCAUGAUCCUUUUCCACAGAAGGUAAACUAAAGCCAAGAUGGCUGAUCAACUUUGUCCUUGUCGUUCCUUCCUCUUCGAACAUGAUUUUCAGCAAGCUCCAUGUCUCCUUCUCCUCUUCGGAUCUGCGAAAUCAGUUAAUUGAAAGAGAGAGAAUUUAGUUGUCUUGUGACUUUGUUAAGGGCGAAUAUGAACAUUUUCAAUCACAAGGAUGACAUACUCAGUCUCUUCAGAUUUCUUCUCACAUAAACCCCUUAGAGAAGUCUUAUCUCCAUUUUCUAUGGCGGUUUCAAAUUCAGAAGUUCGACUCACCAAACUCUGUUCAGUUACCAGGCUGUGCAAAAACACCUGAGCAUGACAUUUAGUCAAACAAAAAGUGAUGAAGAAAAGGGUAUAACAGAAGAUAGCAUCAUUCCUAAAAACCUACCUCAGACGGAAUGCUUGAGGCCCCCUUCGGAGGAGGCUUUGCGUGAAACGAUACAAGCUUUCCCCCAAAUCCAAAAGAUGCACCAACCGGGCGCUUAUACCAUUUUGGUGCUCUUAAAGGAGCUGCAUGAACUACUGCAUACGUACCAGGCUCUGCAGAAAGAGAAAUACGGUCACGUAAUAUGGAAAGUUCAGGUGACAAGCCACCAGAAUCAAGAACUUUCAAGUACUUCAUUGCCGUUGUAAGAAGCCCUUGGCUGGCCAAUAUCUCAGCAUAACUCUCAAAUAGUUUACAUAGAGAUGCGCUGAACUUUUUGUUGCCAGUUGCCAAAGCAAGGACAA